rnacentral:rRNA from 2 species
UUAAGCGACUAAGCGUACACGGUGGAUGCCCUGGCAGUCAGAGGCGAUGAAGGACGUGCUAAUCUGCGAUAAGCGUCGGUGAGGUGAUAUGAACCGUUAUAACCGGCGAUUUCCGAAUGGGGAAACCCAGUGUGUUUCGACACACUAUCAUUAACUGAAUCCAUAGGUUAAUGAGGCGAACCGGGGGAACUGAAACAUCUAAGUACCCCGAGGAAAAGAAAUCAACCGAGAUUCCCCCAGUAGCGGCGAGCGAACGGGGAGGAGCCCAGAGCCUGAAUCAGUGUGUGUGUUAGUGGAAGCGUCUGGAAAGGCGUGCGAUACAGGGUGACAGCCCCGUACACAAAAAUGCACAUAUUGUGAGCUCGAUGAGUAGGGCGGGACACGUGGUAUCCUGUCUGAAUAUGGGGGGACCAUCCUCCAAGGCUAAAUACUCCUGACUGACCGAUAGUGAACCAGUACCGUGAGGGAAAGGCGAAAAGAACCCCGGCGAGGGGAGUGAAAAAGAACCUGAAACCGUGUACGUACAAGCAGUGGGAGCCUCUUAAUGGGGUGACUGCGUACCUUUUGUAUAAUGGGUCAGCGACUUAUAUUCUGUAGCAAGGUUAACCGAAUAGGGGAGCCGAAGGGAAACCGAGUCUUAACUGGGCGUUAAGUUGCAGGGUAUAGACCCGAAACCCGGUGAUCUAGCUAUGGGCAGGUUGAAGGUUGGGUAACACUAACUGGAGGACCGAACCGACUAAUGUUGAAAAAUUAGCGGAUGACUUGUGGCUGGGGGUGAAAGGCCAAUCAAACCGGGAGAUAGCUGGUUCUCCCCGAAAGCUAUUUAGGUAGCGCCUCGUGAAUUCAUCUCCGGGGGUAGAGCACUGUUUCGGCAAGGGGGUCAUCCCGACUUACCAACCCGAUGCAAACUGCGAAUACCGGAGAAUGUUAUCACGGGAGACACACGGCGGGUGCUAACGUCCGUCGUGAAGAGGGAAACAACCCAGACCGCCAGCUAAGGUCCCAAAGUCAUGGUUAAGUGGGAAACGAUGUGGGAAGGCCCAGACAGCCAGGAUGUUGGCUUAGAAGCAGCCAUCAUUUAAAGAAAGCGUAAUAGCUCACUGGUCGAGUCGGCCUGCGCGGAAGAUGUAACGGGGCUAAACCAUGCACCGAAGCUGCGGCAGCGACACUAUGUGUUGUUGGGUAGGGGAGCGUUCUGUAAGCCUGUGAAGGUGGCCUGUGAGGGUUGCUGGAGGUAUCAGAAGUGCGAAUGCUGACAUAAGUAACGAUAAAGCGGGUGAAAAGCCCGCUCGCCGGAAGACCAAGGGUUCCUGUCCAACGUUAAUCGGGGCAGGGUGAGUCGACCCCUAAGGCGAGGCCGAAAGGCGUAGUCGAUGGGAAACAGGUUAAUAUUCCUGUACUUGGUGUUACUGCGAAGGGGGGACGGAGAAGGCUAUGUUGGCCGGGCGACGGUUGUCCCGGUUUAAGCGUGUAGGCUGGUUUUCCAGGCAAAUCCGGAAAACCAAGGCUGAGGCGUGAUGACGAGGCACUACGGUGCUGAAGCGACAAAUGCCCUGCUUCCAGGAAAAGCCUCUAAGCAUCAGGUAACAUCAAAUCGUACCCCAAACCGACACAGGUGGUCAGGUAGAGAAUACCAAGGCGCUUGAGAGAACUCGGGUGAAGGAACUAGGCAAAAUGGUGCCGUAACUUCGGGAGAAGGCACGCUGAUAUGUAGGUGAAGCGACUUGCUCGUGGAGCUGAAAUCAGUCGAAGAUACCAGCUGGCUGCAACUGUUUAUUAAAAACACAGCACUGUGCAAACACGAAAGUGGACGUAUACGGUGUGACGCCUGCCCGGUGCCGGAAGGUUAAUUGAUGGGGUUAGCGGCAACGCGAAGCUCUUGAUCGAAGCCCCGGUAAACGGCGGCCGUAACUAUAACGGUCCUAAGGUAGCGAAAUUCCUUGUCGGGUAAGUUCCGACCUGCACGAAUGGCGUAAUGAUGGCCAGGCUGUCUCCACCCGAGACUCAGUGAAAUUGAACUCGCUGUGAAGAUGCAGUGUACCCGCGGCAAGACGGAAAGACCCCGUGAACCUUUACUAUAGCUUGACACUGAACAUUGAGCCUUGAUGUGUAGGAUAGGUGGGAGGCUUUGAAGUGUGGACGCCAGUCUGCAUGGAGCCGACCUUGAAAUACCACCCUUUAAUGUUUGAUGUUCUAACGUUGGCCCGUAAUCCGGGUUGCGGACAGUGUCUGGUGGGUAGUUUGACUGGGGCGGUCUCCUCCUAAAGAGUAACGGAGGAGCACGAAGGUUGGCUAAUCCUGGUCGGACAUCAGGAGGUUAGUGCAAUGGCAUAAGCCAGCUUGACUGCGAGCGUGACGGCGCGAGCAGGUGCGAAAGCAGGUCAUAGUGAUCCGGUGGUUCUGAAUGGAAGGGCCAUCGCUCAACGGAUAAAAGGUACUCCGGGGAUAACAGGCUGAUACCGCCCAAGAGUUCAUAUCGACGGCGGUGUUUGGCACCUCGAUGUCGGCUCAUCACAUCCUGGGGCUGAAGUAGGUCCCAAGGGUAUGGCUGUUCGCCAUUUAAAGUGGUACGCGAGCUGGGUUUAGAACGUCGUGAGACAGUUCGGUCCCUAUCUGCCGUGGGCGCUGGAGAACUGAGGGGGGCUGCUCCUAGUACGAGAGGACCGGAGUGGACGCAUCACUGGUGUUCGGGUUGUCAUGCCAAUGGCACUGCCCGGUAGCUAAAUGCGGAAGAGAUAAGUGCUGAAAGCAUCUAAGCACGAAACUUGCCCCGAGAUGAGUUCUCCCUGACUCCUUGAGAGUCCUGAAGGAACGUUGAAGACGACGACGUUGAUAGGCCGGGUGUGUAAGCGCAGCGAUGCGUUGAGCUAACCGGUACUAAUGAACCGUGAGGCUUAACCUU